GACUUUCACCAUAAAAACAACAAUAUAACACACCAUUGGACCUCAUUAAGGACCCAAAUUUGAGAAGAAAAUUAAAGCUUUUCACCACCACAAUGUUUGUGGUGCAGAAAUAAAGCGGCCACAACAAAAGUCCAUCCAUGUGGACACCUUGUAAUAUGUAAGGGAUGUUCAAACGUUCCACUUCAACAAUGUCUGAAGUGUUUAAAACCUGUAACAAGCAGAGGUCGAGUUGAGGCUCCAAAGUUUGAAGACAGGUGUGUACAAACAGAGGCUACAUGUCAGGAAUUAGGGGCUGCAUCUCAGGCAAUAGGUGCUCCAAAGUGUGAGGACAGGUGUGUACAAACAGAGGCUACAUGUCAGGAAUUAGGGGCUACAUCUCAGGCAAUUGGUGAGUAUAAAAUAAUAGUUCCCAAUUGAUUUCUGUAAGGUUUUCUUCCCCCGAGUAUAUUGUGCUUGAAAGAAUAACUGAAAACAGCUUCC